AUUGAACGCUGGCGGCAGGCCUAACACAUGCAAGUCGAGCGGUAACACAGGGAGCUUGCUCCCGGGUGACGAGCGGCGGACGGGUGAGUAAUGUCUGGGAAACUGCCUGAUGGAGGGGGAUAACUACUGGAAACGGUAGCUAAUACCGCAUAACGUCGCAAGACCAAAGAGGGGGACCUUCGGGCCUCUUGCCAUCAGAUGUGCCCAGAUGGGAUUAGCUAGUAGGUGGGUAACGGCUCACCUAGGCGACGAUCCCUAGCUGGUCUGAGAGGAUGACCAGCCACACUGGAACUGAGACACGGUCCAGACUCCUACGGGAGGCAGCAGUGGGGAAUAUUGCACAAUGGGCGCAAGCCUGAUGCAGCCAUGCCGCGUGUAUGAAGAAGGCCUUCGGGUUGUAAAGUACUUUCAGCGGGGAGGGAGGUCUUGAGGUUAAUAACCUCAGCAAUUGACGUUACCCGCAGAAGAAGCACCGGCUAACUCCGUGCCAGCAGCCGCAGUAA
rnacentral:rRNA from 1 species